rnacentral:piRNA from 1 species
UGUUAUUGUUUCCAGCUUUGA